AUAAGUAGCCUGCACCACAUUGAACACAUAAAAAUAAAAAAGAAUUCACGAAAAGAACCCUCUAGAAAUACCCAAAAAAAAAAAAAGAAAUUCAAUUACCAAAUUAACCAAUGCAUAUUUAUUUUUAUAUUUUAAUGU